UUUAUUUUCUUUAUUUUCCUUUCCUUCUGCCAUCUGCUUCCUUUCCCCACCUCUUCUUUCUUAUUUGGAUUCUCCAGGCGAUAUGCUACUGUGGCGAUUCAGUCGGUGGCGGGUCAGCCUCAAUUUCAUAACAUUUUAAGGGAUUGCUGUUGGUGUUCAUCGACGGUCGUGGUGGGUCGGAGGUGCCAUGGUGAUGUGAAGAAAUAGAGAAAAAGGAAUAUAGUCAUCACUAUCUGAUACCGACGACGAUCCAUUUUCUGCAUUAGCCAGAUUGAAUGACUUCAAAGGAGUUUUAUACACAACAGUACCAAGGCCAUCGGCUACUUUUGACAUGUUCCCUUCUUGGCCUAUGAGAGUUCAUCAAACCCCAAGAUAAAAUGGUUCCAUGUACAGGUAGGUACUUGCUGAUAUGGUUCUUUUUGCUCAACCUCCAAAUCUGGUCUCAUGUAAGCAGUAGGAAAUAAUCGUGAAGAAAAUUUGAUUUUAACAGUUUUGGACCAAACUGCCCCUCCAUACUAUUUUUAUAGUUAAAAAAUUUGAUUUUAACAGUUUUGGGCCAAAAUGCCCCUGCAUACUGUUUUUAUAGUUAUUUUUUAUUUUCAACAGUUUUGGUUUUCUCUUACAUGGCUGUUUCUUUUUCACUUAACCUGGACAGAGUGAAAUAAUUGGUUAAGACACUAAUUACCUAUUUGCCCUUCUUCUUUUUUCCUCCCA